rnacentral:rRNA from 1 species
AAGUCAAGCGGAGUAGCAAUACCUAGCGGCGAACGGGUGAGUAACACGUGGGUAAUCUUCCUCCGAGUCUGGGAUAACUUUCCGAAAGGAAAGCUAAUACCGGAUAGUCCUACUGGAUCACAGGAUCUGAUAGGUAAAGAUUUAUUGCUUGGAGAUGAGCCCGCGGCCGAUUAGCUAGUUGGUGAGGUAAUGGCUCACCAAGGCGACGAUCGGUAGCCGGCCUGAGAGGGUGUCCGGCCACAAUGGAACUGAGACACGGUCCAUACUCCUACGGGAGG